rnacentral:misc_RNA from 1 species
AACGCACGAGACCUGCGGACCUGCGGAGGGAUCAUUACCGAGUUUACAACUCCCAAACCCCUGUGAACAUACCUAUACGUUGCCUCGGCGGAUCAGCCCGCGCCCUGUAAAAAGGGACGGCCCGCCCGAGGACCCUAAACUCUGUUUUUAGUGGAACUUCUGAGUAAAACAAACAAAUAAAUCAAAACUUUCAGCAAUGGAUCUCU